rnacentral:lncRNA from 1 species
CUAAUAACCGUCAGAUAACAGUGGCUCACAUGUUUGAUCAUGAGUAAUGCAAGGACAAGUUGGCCACUGAUGCAAAUUCUCACUGCCAACCUGACCAGCUCACUUACAUCAUAUGCACAUGGAAAGCCACUUCUGUACCAGCCUGUGGAGACUCACACAAAUGAGGAUGGAGACCACUGUGCCUCUAUUUACUUUGAGGAACUGGCUCGUGGAACUAUCAGGACAGACAGGCUGGAUGCUUUCACACGGAGGUGUCAUAGUUUCUAAUUUUACUCAGCUCUGCCCAGUUCCUCGGUGUGAUCGAUCCACAUGCCUACCUUGGAUAACUGUUCUCUGGUGAGCUCUUCCCUACAGAGCAGUUAAAUAUAGCCUGGCUUGGCUCUGUUGACCCUCAUACCCUGUGUUGACAGAACACAUGUCACUGUAACCACAUCUCAGUCAAUGUCACCUUCUGGGCCGGGAGCCUGGGUCUGCUUUUGUGUUUUAUAGUUUUUGUUUUCCUUUAGAGUUUCACUAUGUAGAUCAGGCUGGCCUGGAAUUCACAGUCCCUCAUGCCUCUGCCUCCUGAGUGCUGGGACUACAGGUUUGCACCAGUGUGCUCUAUAGCACUUGCCUGAAACACACCACUUAAAGAGAAAUUUUGUUUCUGCCUCUGUCUGUCCAUCCAUCCAUCCAUCUGUCUGUCUGUCUCUCCUAGUUCUUCUCUCCUGCUCCUCCCACCCUUAUAUGUAUGUGGCUUCUGGGAGAAGACCCCAGACCUGAUUCCAUCUUGCAGCUGUCUCUCCUAGUGACUGACAGCCGUUCUCCGUGAAGCAUCUACACAGGAGCAGUGUGGUUUUCGAGAUCUCAGCCGGGGCAGCAUUCCGAACUGCAGGUGGAGGCCCUGGGCUCGUUCCCCAGGCUCAAGUUCUCCCCUGAAAACCUUAAAUCUUUGCUCUUAAGAGUCUCGCCUGACAGACGUGCCCCCCACUCCCCACCCAGUGUGGAGGGCAGUCUGCUUUACUGAAGGCUUAUUGAAUGUCAAUAUUAAC